AUAAACCCGAACCGAGGACCCGAUAUGAACCUUAGAAUCCGAAACAAUUAAGCCGGCGUCCAUGGGAGAGAGAAAAGGUCAGUAUCACCAACCUGUACUUGAUGUAAUCAAAGGAGAAGUAAGUUGUGGUUCAUCCAUUGAUCGCGGCUAACGGCGUCGUUUUCUCUUUCCUUUUCUUUUCUGUUUCAGCCAAGUUGACUAUAGCCUCACCGAAUACAAAUGAAUUCAGAUGAUCGGAAAGAAGGGGAAGAAUUUGAAUUGAAUAUAAAGGCCGAGGUGAAAGGAGGGACUCUUUAUUCAUUUUUUGCAUUCAUUUCUAGUCGAACCAAAUUUACCCAACAGUUCUGGUGAGUUGAGUAUAUAUUUUGAAAACGG
rnacentral:lncRNA from 1 species